CAAAGGUGAGCCAGUACAGGAUGGACCCGCGUCUGAUUAGCUAGUUGGUAAGGUAACGGCUUACCAAGGCGACGAUCAGUAGCCGACCUGAGAGGGUGAUCGGCCACAUUGGAACUGAGACACGGUCCAAACUCCUACGGGAGGCAGCAGUGGGGAAUAUUGCACAAUGGGCGAAAGCCUGAUGCAGCAACGCCGCGUGAGUGAUGAAGGCCUUCGGGUCGUAAAACUCUGUCCUCAAGGAAGAUAAUGACGGUACUUGAGGAGGAAGCCCCGGCUAACUACGUGCCAGCAGCCGCGGUAAUACGUAGGGGGCUAGCGUUAUCCGGAUUUACUGGGCGUAAAGGGUGCGUAGGCGGUCUUUCAAGUCAGGAGUGAAAGGCUACGGCUCAACCGUAGUAAGCUCUUGAAACUGGGAGACUUGAGUGCAGGAGAGGAGAGUGGAAUUCCUAGUGUAGCGGUGAAAUGCGUAGAUAUUAGGAGGAACACCAGUUGCGAAGGCGGCUCUCUGGACUGUAACUGACGCUGAGGCACGAAAGCGUGGGGAGCAAACAGGAUUAGAUACCCUGGUAGUC
rnacentral:rRNA from 1 species